rnacentral:snRNA from 1 species
AUCGCUUCUCGGCCUUUUGGCUCAGAUCAAGUGUAGUGUCUGAGUCAUUGGGUGCCCGGAGACAUUGCCCCUUGGCCUUGUGGCAUCGGCUAUUAGCCUUAAGCUUUUGGGGGGCGAUCACCCUGCACUACAGUGAUAACCCUUGAGCUUUG